rnacentral:tRNA from 1 species
GCGGUGGUGGUGGAACAGGCAGACACGCUACUUUGAGGGGGUAGUGCCCAUUUCGGGCGUGCGAGUUCAAAUCUCGCCCACCGCACCA